AAAAAGGGUACAACAUCACCAUUAAAUAACUAUAAAAUGAACAAAUAUUAGAUAUUUCGGAUAACAGAUAUCCUUCUUCGGUAAUAGCACGAUGUAAAAUGAAUCAUGUCAAUAUAUUCAAAUUGAGACACUAUCAAAAUCUUGAACGUUUAUACAAUUUAAGCGGACACCACAGACGCUGGUACAAUUCUAAAAUUUCCAAACACGGCGC
rnacentral:lncRNA from 1 species